CCGAUUACAAUCUCUAUCAGUUAGGUGGAAUGACAAAACAGUGGACAACCUAUGAACAAAACCAAACAUUACUUCUGAUCAAACACAUACAAAUAGAUUUUAGAAUUUCAGUAGUAUUAAGCUUGUACGUUUAGCUAUGCCCAAAACAAGUAAUGCUAUUUUAUGUCGAUCUUUAUUGCCAAGCAAUCUAUAUAUAUGUUUAAUAGAUCUUUAUUGCUCUUUCUUCUAUCAACUUCAUUUGUUCCUCAAUUUCUCCAGUGACUGAAACAUUCUUCUCAAUAGUGCUAUAGCCAUUAGGUUCACCUUUCUUCUCACCAAAACCUAAAUUUUGCUACUGGUUGUAAUGAAAAGAGGGCCUCAAAUUUCAAUUUAACAUUACUUGUACCCACCACAAAUAUGAAGACAUCCAUAUCCCACAUACAUUAGCGGUCAUCCACCUGAACAGAUACCUGAAAACAAAAUAUUUUCAGUUCUCAGAAGUAUACCAACACAAAAGUGCACAUAUAACACUUCAGGAUUAACAGGCUUCAUUACCAUGCAUUGGAAAGAGAAAACGCAACCCUGCAUCUUGCAAUUUUUGCUAGUUGCAAGCGUGUACCGCUACUAAUCCGGUCUACACCUAGAGAAAGUUCUGAAACCCUCCACAUAGAGACCGUCAAAUACUGCAGGUCAAAAGUGAAAAUCCAUAUUUUUACACCUGAAUGAUCCAUGGAGAGGUAUAUAAACUGCUGUGAGAAAAAAACAAAUAUGAUUGAAUAUCAAUGGAAGAACAUACAAGAAUAGUGCAGCAGCCACUCAUGAUUUGUAAUCGCCAUGGGACUUGAGUUGCUUAGUUGCUUAAACAGUCUACUGUAGUCACCGU
rnacentral:lncRNA from 1 species